rnacentral:rRNA from 1 species
UACGUAGGUGGCAAGCGUUGUCCGGAUUUACUGGGCGUAAAGAGCGCGCAGGCGGUCGGAUCAGUCGAAUGUGAAAGCCCCCGGCUCAACUGGGGAGGGUCAUUCGAUACUGUCCGACUCGAAGGCAGGAGAGGGAAGCGGAAUUCCCGGUGUAGUGGUGAAAUGCGCAGAUAUCAGGAGGAACACCAAUUGCGAAGGCAGCUCGCUGGGACGUUACUGACGCUGAGACGCGAAAGCGUGGGGAGCAAACAGG